rnacentral:tRNA from 1 species
GCCCAGGUGACUAAGUGGUAAAGCAUUUGCCUGCAAUGCAGGAGAUCUGGGUUCAGUCCCUGGACUGGGAA